rnacentral:rRNA from 1 species
AAGGUACUCAAGAGCACACAAUGGAUGCCUAGACGUAUAUUACCGAAGAAGGACGCGGAAGACUGCGAAAAGUCUCGGGGAGCUGUCAACAAGCUUUGAUCCGGGAAUGUCCGAAUGGGGAAACCCAGUACGAGUCAUGUCGUAUUAUCUGUCUCUGAAUAUAUAGGAGAUUUGACGGGAACCAACUGAACUGAAACAUCUUAGUAGGUUGAGGAAGAGAAAAUAAAUAAUGAUUCCGG